GGAACGGUACUUUAUUAUUAUGGUUUGCAUAUUAUUACAGAUUUGUGGAAAACGGCAAGUCAGUUUUCCUUUCCACAUGGACUUUCUUCAGCUUGUCUUAUGAUUGCCGUGUUUCUGGAGUUCAUCUUGUUUUUUAGGCCUUAAGACUGGAAACCCCAACAGGAAAUGGGUCCAUUUAUUAUUCAUAGUUGUAACGCUGGCCACUGGCAUGUCACAAAACUCUCAAAAUCAAUUGAUAAACACAGAGAAUGGAGCGUGGGGCAGCAUUUUUGCAAAGGGAUGGGUGCCCAGCUGGCCCCAGUGCCGCCCUCUGUGAGGAAGGAAUCUCCCAGUGCAGCCAGGAGUCAGACGAGUUCCUCUUCCCGACCCUACCCUCCCAUCUUCGACGCCUAAGGCCCUUCCCUGUCUUCCUGGCUUUGCUUCAGGUGGUUUUGUACUUUUUAAAUUUUGUUUUGGUUUGUUUAGGCUUCAGCCUAGCGGCUUUAGGUGCCAGAAAAUCAGAUUAACCACUGCAGCGGCAUCCUUCUCAGGGACCCGGGGGCCACGUUGGUCAUUUUGCCCCAUUGUAUCUGGAGAGCUUGACAGACAGACAUGUGUGCACUAGGUCAGGAAGCCACGGCCCUGGCCUGGGAAGAGGGCAGGUAGGAGAAAAGCCCCCAGCCCCCUCCACCCUCAGGGAAUGGCCCAGUUGUCCACAGGUUAAGUCAAGAAUCCCCCGCGAACAGGUCAAACCAGAGACUGCCCAGUCCCAGCGUCCGCCCCCAGGGCAUUGCUUCCUUCACCUCCUACACUUGGCUCCCUGUGGUUCCGUGGCUGCCACAGUUGUGUGGAUCCUACCGGGCCCAGGGCCCCUCCCCAUCUCAGACAGCACCCACUUUCAGGCUAGGCCUUCCACGGGCUGCUUAAAUGGACCACGAAGGCCGGCAAAGCAGCAGAAACGUGCCUGUUCACGGGCCAGUCGGCCCUCCCCGCUCCAGCCCUCUAGGGUUUCUGGUUCCGGUUUCUGUCGCUGCCGUUAGUGAGGAAUUAUUCAUGUGGCCAAUGCGUUUUCUUGACAUUUAAGCAGGGCUGUGGCCGAUAUCAAGGCUGAGGACCCAAGAGGCCUUUGGGUGUCUGUGUCCCUGAGCCAUAUGCUGAGGUCGGACGGCGGGGGAGGGGGGUGCAGGAAGGGGCCAGCCCCAGCGAGAGUCAGCCAGGCCCCAAACAGAGCCAGGGGUUCCCCCGGGGGGGAGUGCUCACUUAGGAAGAGCACCAUGGACAGCCUGGCAGGAGGUCACCCUGUGCUGAGCAGGCAGCGCUGGAGUAAACCACCUGCCUCUCUGUAGGAAGAAGGAAACCGCAUCCGCAAACGGAGCAAAGGUCCCCAGAGGCAGAGCAGAAGCCUCUGGGAUGCUGCAGCUUUGUGCAGACACUGGGGACCAGGACUGGAGCAGGUGCUGGCCGUGCUCUUUAUCCUGGGCACUCUGCCAGGGCCACACGGAGCGUGGCUCCCGGGAGAUGGAGACGUCUGAGUGUCAGCUCAGGUCUCGGUGUUUCCAGGUGACAUGCUGGCUGCUAGUGUAGAGCAUGGUAAACCAUCUUUUUUUUUUUUGGUUACUAUUUACUUAUGCAAAAUAAUGUGAGUUUCUGCCAUUUGCAACAAGUGUGCCAGCUGCAAUGAGUCAGCGGGUGGACACAGGUGAGCAUGGCCAGACUGUGCCAGAACAUGGUGACAGACAGACAUGCUUCGAAGUUCACUGUGGGAAGGGACAGGUCCCCAGAGAGAGGUGAGACGGUGCAACGCGAGGGUGAGUUCGGAGUCAUCCUCCAGAUGUCCACAAAGGCUCGAGAGGCCCUGCUGUGUGUCAGGCACUGCGUGAAGGUUGUGGGCACAGUAGGAGGGACACAAGACACCUUCUCUCGAGGACCGUUGGUUCCAGUUGCGGAGACAGUAACAGCAUAAGAUGAUGAGUAAGAAAAGAAUGCUGGCAGGAAAGUGGCCAUGGAGGGAACUGCUUCCGGGCCUCUCCGUGGGAUUUGCCAGGCGUGGACUGAGCGAGGACCUUCCCUGAGAACACCAACUGCUCCAGGAGAGAGAAGAGGUGGAGCCCCGGCGGGGGGCAUGGGGCAGGAGGCAGCCACCCACACCUUCCCUCUCUGAAUGCUGAGCAGAGGCUCUCAGCAGAGGGGAAGAAGAGCAGAGGCCACGAUUGGGAAGACAGACCCAGUGGGGGUCCUUGGCGCCGUCCACAUCCAUCUGCAACCUGCUGCCCAGCGCCUGCCUGCCCGGGGUGUGCACAGAGCAGUGUGGUCUGUCCCGGCUUCACGGCCUGACACGGCCAGGCGAGGAUGACAGGGAAAGGGAGGCAGGGACUUGGGGCUGUUGGAGCCAAGCUGAGGAGCAAGGAGCUGCGAUGGGAAGCGGGUGGCAGGAAGGAGCGUGAGGCCUGUGGGUGGAAGGUCUCUGGCCUUGGAGAUUGAAGCGUUUCACUUGUGCAUCUCACAGCCCAGAGAAGCCAAGCCCGGACCAUGGGGGAGAGAGGAGGACCCCCGUCUCAGGGCGGGCUGAGGAGACGCUCUCUCCACGGCUUCCGGAUGGGUCUCCCUCCAUCUCAGCUGCAUCUAUGGGAAAACGAUGAAAUGCUCCCUCCACUGCCGGGCCUUCUCUUAUAAAGCAGGUUUCUUCGAAGUAUAAAAAUUAAUAGAAAAGGUUCCAUAGAAAAUCAAGAAAGUAAGUAUGUAAAGAUGAAAACAAAAAGCACCGGAAAUGCUCUUCAUAGCUGACGUUUUCUUAUUCACUUUUUAUUAAAACAGGAUGAGGCGUCCUGCCUUUUCCAGCCUUAUCUAGGAAGUGUCUUGCCAGGUCACCAAAUGGCAAGCAGAACCGUAAGCUGAAGUUGUCUGCCUAGAAUUCCACUGUGGCAAUGUUCAGCAUCCCGACUGGACAGCUCCGUGCGGCGGCAUCGGGGGCGCGGCGGCAUCGGGGGCGCGGCAGCAUCGGGGGCCCUUUUCAUGCCAUUCAAGGCCCCGUGGAAACAGACACCACAGCUCAGCAUGAGACUGUGGCCCCACCUGACCUGGCUCAUCCAUCCCCAGCCUCUCGUGGUCCCCGGCCCUAUGCCGACAUUUGGCACUCGAUGAGCCAUUUCUCCACAUUUCAGGAGCCUUGUUUUAAGACAGCCUGGCUGUCUGAGAGCCACCGGAGUCGAGACUGGAUGCCCGGCCUGGUGCCCGUGGGCCAGCACCGCCUGAGGAGGAGGGGUCUCUGGAGGCCACAGGCAGAGCCACUGAGAGGGAUCUUUAAGCAGAGGGCCCCACACACCUCCUGGGACCCACGGGUGUGGCUGCCAUGCAGGGUCUGGGAGCUACAGAGAGUCGGGAACCAAGGGCGCGGUGGCUCACACCUGUAAUCCCAGCACUUUGGGAGGCCAAGGAUCACGAGGUCAGGAGAUCGAGACCAUCCUGGCUCAUACGGUGAAACCCCAUCUCCACUAAAAAUACAAAAAAUUAGCCGGGCGUGGUGGCGGGCGCCUGUGGUCCUAGCUACUCGGGAGGCUGAGGCAGGAGAAUGGAGUGAACCCGGGAGGCAGAGGUUGCAGUGAACCCAGAUUGCCCACUGCACUCCAGCCUGGGCAACAGAGCGAGACUCCGUCUCAAAAAAAAAAAAAAAGAAAGAAAAAAAGUAAAAACAAGAGAGUAGGGAGCCAAGUCCCUGGGUUGCCAAGUCAAUCCGUGGAAGCCCCUGACUUCGAGCAGGACACAGGGCCCUAAGGACAGCCCCAGCCCCUGCAGUGUGGCCUGCAAUGGGUGUCAUUCAUUUUGACCUGGCUGUUGUGGUUUUGGGUGGUAUUGUUAUUUGUUUGAAAAGAAAACACAUGGGCUGCGUAUGGCAUGAGCAAGUACAGACGUCAUUGGGAUCGGCUAAUGAAAAUGACAGAGUACUCUAAAGUGACACCUUACAGGGACGUGGUGAUGUGGCACCAGGCCCAGUGGCACCAGCACACCACCGUCUCGCUGGCAUUUCCACCGUGGUCCCUGUUAAACCAGAAAGAACGAAAGUGUGAUGGGGAAAAAUAAGUAUGUGUUUCUUGUAAAACACAGCUCAUUUCAAAACUACUGAGAACAAGGGGACAGUUUGAAAUUGGGCAGAGCCCCUUGGGACCAGCUGGACCAGGAAGAAGGUCCAAUCAGCUCUUCCUCAGGGCCAGGAAUCUCUCGGUCACUCCGAGGCCUGGAAGAAAGUUUCCAGAACCUUUUUUUGCACAAAUAAACUGCAGAUCUGAAAUCAGCAAGAAGGUUCAGGACCUGGGCCCCCAGGAUUGGAACCACGGGAGUCUCAGAUCCUCAAACUAGCUGGGUUUGCUUCAGUUUUCUCAGGUGGGACGGGCCACCCUGGGUUUCCCAGGGUGAUGUCCCAACAGUGGAGGUGAGAUGUCACAGAAUGGAGGAUGUGAUAUGAUCUGUAACAUGGAAUCCAGCAGAAGCUCCAGCACUUAAAAGACAGGAAGCAGUGGAGGGCCUGGGUGUCCCAGCCUUCAUCAUUCCCUCACCUGGAGCAGUUGGUGUCCUCAGGGAAGGUUCUCAUUCAGUCCAUGCCUGGCAGAUCCCAUGGAGGUGCCCGGGUGAUUCUGGCACAAGGGCUGGAAGAUUCCUUCUUUGAUCCCUGCUGGUGGCCGGAGCUGGCUCACAGGCCUGGGGCUGCUCAGCUGCAGGACAGUGGGAGGAGGUGGGCUCUGGGUUCCUCAACCCGGCUCACAGCCCUGCUCCGACUGUCCCUGCUGGGCACCCCUGGCGGUGAUAUCAUCAGCCUGGGCCUCCGUUUCUUUUUUCUUUUUUUUCUUUUUCCUGAGACGGAGUCUUGCUCUGUCUCCCAGGCUGGAGUGCAGUGGCACAAUCUUGGCUCGCUGCAACCUCCACCUCCCAGGUUCAAGUGAUUCUCCUGUCUCAGCUUCCCGAGUAGCUGGGACUACAGGCAUGCACCACCACGCCCAGCUAAUUUUUGUAUUUUUAGUAGAGACGGAGUUUCACCAUGUUGGCCAGGCUGGUCUUGAACUCCUAACUUCAGGUGAUCCGCCCACCUUGGCCUCCCAAAGUGCUGGGAUGACAGGCGUGAGCCACUGCGCCUGCCCUCCAUUUCUUUAUGAACAGUGUGUGGUCCCAGCAUCCUGAAGUUGGUGUGAGGUGCAGGUGGGACGGCUUUGGGGCAGGCCCCAGUGCAGACGGCCCUGCUGCUGCCCCUGCCCGUGCCGCUGCCCCUGCCCCUGCUGCUGCCCCUGCCCCUGCCCCUGCCCCUGCCGCUGCCUCUGCCCCUGCCCCUGCUGCUGCCCCUGCCCCUGCUGCUGCCUCUGCCCCUGCGUUCCUGAGCAGGCCACCAUGCUACUCUUUGGGAGUCCUUUUUCUUCUUUUUAAAUGAGGCUUGAUUGGCUUAGGGAGAAACAGGAGACACCGCAUACCAUGCAGUUAAAAAUGAAACUCGGAUUAAAUGAAUAUUGAAUUCAGUACUGUACUGGCUUCCUAGAGCUGCUGAAAUGCAAACUGGGGGCUUAAAACCACGGAGACGUAUUCCCCCACAGUUCUGGGAAGUAGAAGCUCGAAUGCCUGUUGGCAGGGCUGAGCUCCUCUGCAGGCUGUGGGGAAGGACCUGUCCCAUGCCUCUCCUGGCUCCUGGUGGCCGCUGGUAAGCCUUGGUGUCCUGUGGCUUGUAGACACAUCUCUCCAAGUGCUGCCUCUGCCUCCAUCUCCGCGUCUUCCUGCCGCCUCCUUAUAACGACGGCAGCCAUUGGAAUGGGGGCCCACCAAAAUCCAGUCUGACUUUGUCUUCAUUUAACUGAUGAUAUCUUUAAAGAUCCUGUUUCCAAAUAAGGUCACAUUCUGAGCAUCCAGGGGAUGCGAGUUUUGGGGAGACUCGAUUCCACCAACACCAGCAUCGAAGAGGGCAGGGCACAGAGAUGAAGCUAAGGUCCAGGGCGCACACACUGAUGGGCACCCUUGAAAUAACGGCAAGGGACCCCCUAUGGGUUCCCCCACUCAUAAAGAAUGCCGAGGAGUUAGGAAUAGGACAAGCACGUGUCCCUCAAGGCUACUGUUGGGAUGCCCAGGACUUGUCUGAGCCCUUCUCUAGACCGGCUGCUCAUCCACCCGCUGCCUCUAAAACCAGGUAAGAGAAGGGGAGAGAGAGGGUCAGGAGAUGCCCUGGCCCAGGAGCAGAAGCUCCCCUGGAGGCCUCGGUCUGUGGGCCUCCUGCAGGCUGCACAGGGGGGGCCACAGCUGUCCUCACCCAGGGGCCAUGCCCUCCCAAAAGGAGGCCACCAGAGGCCCCUUGUCCCACAUUUUUGGAGUGUGGACAGCCAAACUGGGUCAUUCAGACCCAACCUGGUCACUGUGGAGGGAAUGGGCUGUGCCCCACUCCCCACCCAAUACCAGGCCGAGGCCAGCAGGUCUGAGGGUCCCUGUGGAGCUCUGUCCUGCCCCAGCCCCGGCCAGCUGUCCUACUGGCUCCUCUAGUCCUCUUCUUAGGUAAGGCUGAGAAAGUGGGUCAAAGGCAACAACCUCAGAGCCUCUGGCCGCUCCUACCUGAAGGGCCGGGGCUCUGUGUGGGUGAAGACCGGCAGCUUCCUGGAGUAACCAGAGGGCUGAGCCUCCUCCUUGACUUGUUCGGAGUGUUUCUUCACUGACCGGUUUACCUGGGUGUGCAUACGGAGGGUCCACAAAACCACGGUGAGAUGCCACCGCACACCCAUUGGGAUGGCUACCAUCAAAACACAACAGAAAAUUACAAGUGUCUGCAAGGAAGUGGAGAAGCCGGAGCCCUUGUGCACUGCUGACGGGAAUGUGAAUGGUGCAGUCGCUGUAGGAAAUGGUCGGUGAGUCCUCAGAUGGCAUGGUGAUCCCACAGGCAGUUCACACGAGCAGGAGGUGGGACACUCAAACAUCCAUCCACAGAUGAAUGGAGACACAGAAUGUUCCACAAAAUGGAAUAUUACUCAGCCUUAAAAAGGAAGGAAGUUCUGAGACAUGCUACAACACAAAGGAACCAGGAGGACAUCAUGCUGCGUGAACGAAGCUGGUCCCAAGAGGACAAAUGCCGUAUGGUUCCACGUGCACAAGGUCCCUGGAGUACUCAAAUCCACAGAGGCAGAAAGUAGAGUGGGAGGUGCUGGGGCUGGGGGAGUGAGUGUUUAAUGGGUUCAGAGUUUCAGUUUGGGAAGAGGGAAAAGUUUGGAGGUGGAUGGUGGUGAUGGUUACACAGCAGUGUCAAUGAACUUAACGUCACCAAACUGUGUGCUUUCAGAUGGUUAAAAUAGUAAAUUUUAUGUUAUGUGUAUUUUACUGCAAUAAAAAAAUGUUAAGCCAGGUCCCAUAGUUCAGCAAGAACCAAAAGGGCCACAGGACCUCCCAGUAGCUCCCUGCCCCGUCCUUAGAAACCUGAGCCCCCUCUGGCACGGAGGGAGGCCUGGCACAAGAGGCUGGCAGUGGGGUGGGCCUUGGCAGCCCACCUGCAGCCUGGCCUGGGCUCCACAUCUGCGAGGACUACACCGGGUGCUCCCAGGAGCUCCGAGUUCUCAAGAGACACCUCAGCUUUCUCAUCCCCAAAACCUCCUUCUCUCCAUUCGGAGCGUCUCCCCUGAACCCGACAUGCUUCCCCAGUGGGAACUAUGCUCUCCCCUGCCCCACCCCGGUGGACGGGUCCUGCUGCUGCCCUGACACCCUGGCACUUCAGGCAGCCACUGGAAGGGCCCAGAACCAGGAGCACAGGUGCUCCUGAGCCAUGCCCAGCCACCCCCGGUGGGGGCAAGCUCCGUGGCUGCGCCACGCCCUGGAGGGCUUUAGAAAGCAGCUGUGUUUGCUUUGCCCCUAGAUGUCACUUAGAAACAGUGUGUCCCAUAAUUGUUUUCUGGGGAUAUUUUUGGCUUUUUUUUUUUUUUUGAGAUGGAGUUUCGCCCUUGUUGCCCAGGCUGGAAUGCAGUGGCACGAUCUUGGCUCACUGCAACCUCUACCUCCCGAGUUCAAGCGAUUCUCCUGCCUCGGCCUCCCAAAGUGCUGGGAUUACAGGCGCGCCACCAUGCCUGGCAAAUUUUUGUAUUUUUAGUAGAGACGGGGUUUCCCCAUUGUGGCCAGGCUGGUCUCAAACUCCUGACCUCAGGUGAUCCACUCGUCUCGGCCUCCUAAAGUGCUGGGAAACAGGCAUGAGCAACUGCUCCCGGCCAUGUCCCAUAAUUGAAUCUGUGCUACCAAAUUUAUAUUUUAUAAAUAUAUAUUUUUAAAAAUUCCAGUUUGUAGCAAAGAUGGUACUGUGGUUUGAAAGUGUUCCCCAAAGUUCAUGUGUCGGAAGCUUGAUCCCCAACAUGGCCGUGUUGGGAGAUGCGGUCUCAUGGGAGGUGUUUGGACCGCAGGGGCACGACCCUCACAAGUGGGUUAAUAUUUUAUUACAGCAAAUAUAUACUAAGUUUGUUGGCCUUUGUUGGGCCUGUUUAUUACAUCUUGGAUUUUCAGUGACUUUUUUUCUUCUACCUGAGUUUAAAACAGUGCACAUGAAAGGAUUUGGAAUUUUAAAACUUUUUUCUUGAUGAUAAAAUUGAAUAUAUGAUUAUUAUAAAAAAUAUAUAUGAAAAUAAUAAUACUAACAUAUAAGAAAUAAUUCAUAAUUCUACCACUCAGAUAUCAUCACUCAGUAUUUUGGUGCAUUUUUUUCUAGUUGAAUAGAUGUAAAUUUUUAAAAAAUAAAUUUGGAUUGUACCCCA